rnacentral:rRNA from 1 species
UACGUAGGGGGCAAGCGUUGUCCGGAAUCAUUGGGCGUAAAGCGCGCGUAGGCGGCCCGGUAAGUCCGCUGUGAAAGUCAAAGGCUCAACCUUUGAAUGUCAGCGGAUACUGCCGGGCUAGAGUCCGGAAGAGGCGAGUGGAACUCCUGGUGUAGCGGUGGAAUGCGCAGAUAUCAGGAAGAACACCAACGGCGAAGGCAGCUCGCUGGGACGGAACUGACGCUGAGGCGCGAAAGCGUGGGGAGCGAACAGG